GGACAGAUGGCCGAGUGGUUGAAGGCGCUCGCCUGGAACGCGAGUAUACGCCAAAAGCGUAUCAAGAGUUCGAAUCUCUUUCUGUCCGCCA
rnacentral:tRNA from 1 species